GGACGUGCUGGGCGCGCUCUGGUCGACCACCGUGGUUGGUCCCAGGCGGCGGGUCGAGGAGGCCGGAGGAGAUCGAAUGGUGGAAAGAAGACCCCAAUAAUUGAGCUCCAACGGUUGUGCAUGAAGUCUCUUGCAGAUUAUGCACAGAUUGAAUCAACAUGAGAUUGAUGUCUUUGCAGUUACAGCUGUCACCCACAUAUUCAACUCACUCCAAUAUGACAACGUUGGAUGCGGUAAAGCUCAAACAGAGAGAAGCACGGUAUGUUUGGGAUGGCCUAUGGAAGUCAAGAUGCGGGACAGCAGCAGUGGAUGGCGUGAAUAAUGAAUGCAAGGGUGAAUGUCACAGAAGGAAAAGGGCAAGAGAUCCCAAAAAUAGGGGAGUGUUGUCGAUAACUGCUGCCCACUUGGUUGCAGGAGAAAUGCUGGAAGGAAAAAACCAUCGUUGACAAAGGGGAUUUUGAGGGCCCAAAUGCAGAACUUACAAACACUUUGAGCUGGCAAGUCCUGCCUGCCAUUUAUGGGAAACUGUAUGGCUAUGGUUAAAUUUAACUCUAGUUCUGGAUUGCACUCUGAAUAAGAUGGACCAUGACUUCAUUGACAUAAAACAGAGACGUUCAAUAGCUUGGGAUAUGUUCCCAGUUUUCUAUUUUUAAUUCUUACCCCACCUGUCCCACCUGUUAAAAUUAAGUAGUAAAUAGAUUCAAACAUAACUCUCAGCUAGAAAUCUAAGAGUGGGGAAUUUGAAUUUCAAUUACAGUGACAUAGAAGCAAAUGUAAAAUUUAACUCCUUGAUCAUCGUCAUGGGAAAUUGAUGAAUAUUCAGUUAGAAUAAGAAUUGGAAUCAGGUUUAUUAUCAAUGACUUGUGAUGAAAUUCAUAGUUUUGCAGCAGCAAUGCAGCACAAUAAGACCGUAAGGUACAGGAGCAGAAUUAGGCCAUUUGGCCCAUCGCGCUUGCUCUGCCAUUUCCUCAAUGCUAAUCCAUUUUUCCUCUCAGCCCCAAACUCCCCCCGUUUCCUUCAUGCCCUGACCAAUCAAGUUGCAAUCAAUAAGUUACAGAAAUAAAUAUAUAGGGCAAAAGGCAUUGUUCGUUUAUGUGUUUAUGUGCUCUGAAGGUUGACGGGAAGAAAGUGUUCUCAGUGUGGGUCUUCAGGUUUCUGUACCUCCUCACCAGUGGUAGCACCAUUUAUAGGGUAUAUCCUGGAUGGGAAGGGUCUUUAAUGAUGAAUUCUGCUUUCUUAAGGCACCAUCUCAGAAGUUGUUCUUGACAGAGGAAAAAAUUAAACCAGUUAUGGAACUGGCUGAGCCUCUGCAGCCUUUUGCAAUCCUAUGCAUUGGAGGUUCUAUAUCAAUCUGUGAUGCAAUCAGUUAGAAUGCUCUCUAUCAUUCAUCUGUGGAAAUUUGCAAAAGUCUUUGGUGAUAUACCAAAUCUCCUCAUACUCCUAAUGAAAUAUAACUGCUGGCAUGUCUUCUUUGUGAUUGAAUCAUUGUGCGCAGUCCAUGCUAGAUCUUGAGAGACAUUGAACUUAGGAACUUGGAGUUGCUCACCCUUUUGACUAUUUACUGCUUCAUGAGGGCUGGUGGAUUCUGAUAUGGUUCUCUAUUGUGCACAGAGAAUUGGAAGGGGGCUGGUAGAAGGGAAUUAUGGUUGGGGAAAGAGGAAGGGAGAGGGGAUAGAGCAGGAAGCACCAGAGAGACAUUCUGUAAUGAUCAAUAAAUUAAUUGUUUGGACUCCAAUGACCUUGCUUGGUGUCUCAGGGAUGGGUGUGUCUGCACCCAUGCUGACCCCCACCCUGGUACUCCUUCUCUGCCACCUGUUCCACAACCCUUUUGUGGCAGUCUGCCCUUGCCCUUCCCAACAUCCUUUGCUCUCACCGGAUUUACCAACUCAUUCUCCACUCCACAUUGACAAAUGCAAAAGUCUUAGGCACCCCAGCUAAAUAUAUUUGAAACUUGAUUUGUGUGAGGGAAUCUGAUCGAUAAACAGUAGCCUGAUUAUGAUUUGUUGUUCCCUAGGUGCUCCAAAGCCAUGUAGAGAGCCAGUGAGAUUGUGUACAUUGUAGAUUGUUGUGAUGGUAGUCAAAUUGCAAUGGGUCUAGGUAUGUAUUUGACAUAGGAGUUAAUUCCCGUCAUAGCAUUAUUGAAUUUAUUUUAUUAACUCUUGAUAAAGCAUACAUCACUUGAAAUGAAUAACUAUUGGAUAGUAGUUACUGUUAUCAGUUCCUAUUCCAAGAACAUUGGUUUCACUAUAAUUAAUGUUCUGCUUUCAAUUUUAUUCUCACAGCCAUCACAUCGGAUCGAAAUAGAAGGGAAAUUUGUCUAAAGAAAAUAAAUUAAUAUUGCAUUUAAUCAUGUAGGAGUGUUUCAGACCCCUA